rnacentral:tRNA from 1 species
GCAAAAGUGUCGGAAUAGGUAAACGAAUUUUGCUUAAGCCAAAAUGACUUUAGGUCUUAUGGGUUCAAGUCCCAUCUUUUGCA